rnacentral:rRNA from 1 species
UGAUCCUGGCUCAGGACGAACGCUGGCGGCGUGCCUAACACAUGCAAGUCGAACGAAGUAAGUUGCUUCACCAAGUGUUGAAUAGCUACCCCCAAGCGCAUUUGCCAAAGGGUAAGCGAAAAGUACUAUCAAUUAAAUAAAAUGGUGAAACAAAAGAAUAGCGAAGAAGAAGCAAAUGCGCUUCACGCUAAUUCCAAGUACCAACACAAAACAAAUUCAAUGUUUGGUGAAGCAACUUGCUUAGUGGCGGACGGGUGAGUAACGCGUGAACAAUCUGCCCCGUACAAAGGGAUAGCCUCGGGAAACCGGGAUUAAAACCAUAUAACACUUAACUGCCGCAUGGUAGUGAA